GAAAUGCGAUAAGUAAUGUGAAUUGCAGAAUUCAGUGAAUCAUCGAAUCUUUGAACUCAUCUUGCGCUCCUUGGUAUUCCGAGGAGCAUGCCUGUUUGAGUGUCAUGGAAUUCUCAACUCUAUUUGCUUUUGUGAAUAGAGCUUGGAUUUGGAGGUUUAUUGCUGGUACUUGUGAUCGGCUCCUCUUGAAUGCAUUAGCUCGAACCUUUGCGGAUCAGCUAUCGGUGUGAUAAUUGUCUACGCCGUUGCAGUGAAGCAUAUCAAUGGGCUCGGCUUCCAAUCGUCCUUUACUGGACAAUGACUUUGACCUUUGACCUCAAAUCAGGUAGGAUUACCCGCUGAACUUAAGC
rnacentral:misc_RNA from 1 species